AUGAGGCCCGGAGCCGAGUUCGUCACGAUGAGCCACCGUGCGGGGGCGCCGAUGACGGCGCCGGCGCACGAGCUGGUGAAUGGGAUAGCGGCGCCUCACUCGCCGUGGCAGUCGCCGGUGCCGUGCCUCUUCGGCGGGAUGGCGGCGAUGCUGGGGCUCAUCGCCUUGGCACUGCUCAGCCUCGCCUGCUCCUACUGGAAGCUCUCCGGGUACCUCGACGACGACCGAGAAGGUCAGGCGGUGGGGGACGCCGACGGGGAGAAGGGCUCGGUGUCUGGCGCAUCCAAGCCGGCCUUGGAUUUCCUGGAGGACGUCGUGGUCAUCAUGGCCGGCGACGAGCGGCCCACGUUCGUCACCAAGCCGGCCGCCAGCCGGGCUGCCGAAGUGGAGUUCGCAACCGCAGCCGCCCCAGCAAGCGCGAGCGCCGUCAACAGACAGGAGAAGAAGAUGGAUGAGGUGAGCUCGCAGCUAGGAGGUGACUCCACCAACGCAGCAAGCCGGAGCCGCAGCCACCAAGACGCGGCGAGCCAGAGCCGUGACCACCACCACCAUGACCAUGAGAGCAGCAGCACGACAGCGCAGCAAGAAAGCUUGCAAUAA
rnacentral:rRNA from 1 species